UACGGAGGGUGCAAGCGUUAAUCGGAAUUACUGGGCGUAAAGCGUGCGUAGGUGGUUCGUUAAGUCAGAUGUGAAAGCCCUGGGCUCAACCUGGGAACUGCAUUUGAAACUGGCGGACUAGAGUUUAGUAGAGGGGAGUGGAAUUUCAGGUGUAGCGGUGAAAUGCGUAGAUAUCUGAAGGAACACCAGUGGCGAAGGCGACUCCCUGGACUAAAACUGACGCUGAGGUACGAAAGCGUGGGUAGCAAACAGG
rnacentral:rRNA from 1 species